GGCAAUCUGUAUCAUGUUCUACGGGUUGCAUAUCAUAAAACCUUAUUCUUGAAUAAAAAUUCGAAUUCGAAAUAUUAUUCAUGUCAACUUGACAGAUAGAUGUCAUCACGAUGUUGAAAUGAACGUAUUUUUUAAUAUUCACUCAACAAUUGCAUUUUAACGUGCAACCAUCACAAAUAUUAAUCAAUAUACGCACUCACAGCUCCUCUCAAGGAAGGCAGAAGAAAUCAUGUGGAUGCGCAAUCAUAAUUGCUGCCGCUGUGAGUGCGCCGACAAGCUCACGCCAAAGAAACUAAAUGCCAUCUACGCCAGCAUUAGCGGUGCCUUAUUUGCCAUUGGAUGGUGGUGCUUCUUGGACGCUCUCUGCGUGUACCCGACGCAGUUUUCCAAUCACGCAUGGUUUAUUCUUCCGGGUGUCGGUGCAACAACUGCGUUUAUUAUUGUCAACGUAAUUGCGAAGUUACCGUCAAUGCACCUGAAUGCCGCGUAUAUGACGCGCACUGCAAUUUGGUGCUUGCGCUUCUUUCUCUUCGUCGGGUUUCUUUUGUCGUUUUCUAUGGUUUUCGCGGCUGUUUUGAUGUUCAUGCUGCAGUGGGCUGUCAUUGUACCUAGACCGGAAGCCGGAUGGUCGUACGGGUUUGGUAUACCGCAGACGAUGUUUAUUGCUUGCAGCACGUUCAUAUUUUAUUUCGGGGUGAAUAUUGACGAUGCAUUUUAAGCAAUAAAACAUUAAAAAACU